AAAGCUCGUAGUCGGAUUUCGGGUCGGGCCGAGCGGUCUGCCGAUGGGUAUGCACUGUUCGGCGCGGCCUUCUUUCCGGAGACCGCGGCUACUCUUAACUGAGCGGGCGUGGGAGACGGAUCGUUUACUUUGAAAAAAUCAGAGUGUUUCAAGCAGGCAGCUCGCUCUUGCAUGGAUUAGCAUGGGAUAAUGAAAUAGGACUCUGGUGCUAUUUUGUUGGUUUCGAACACCGGAGUAAUGAUUAACAGGGACAGUCAGGGGCACUCGUAUUCCGUCGAGAGAGGUGAAAUUCUCAGACCAAUGGAAGACGAACCACUGCGAAAGCAUUUGCCAGGGAUGUUUUCACUGAUCAAGAACGAAAGUUAGGGGAUCGAAGACGAUCAGAUACCGUCGUAGUCUUAACCAUAAACCAUGCCGACUAGGGAUUGGAGGGUGUUCGUUUUGACCUCUUCAGCACCUUACGGGAAACUAAAGUCUUUGGGUUCCGGGGGGAGUAUGGUCGCAAGGCUGAAACUUAAAGGAAUUGACGGAAGGGCACCACCAGGAGUGGAGCCUGCGGCUUAAUUUGACUCAGCACGGGGAAACUUACCAGGUCCAGACAUUGGAAGGAUUGACAGAUUGAGAGCUCUUUCUUGAUUCGAUGGGUGGUGGUGCAUGGCCGUUCUUAGUUGGUGGAGUGAUUUGUCUGGUUAAUUCCGUUAACGAACGAGACCUUAGCCUGCUAAAUAGUUCCGGUAACUUCUUGUUGGCGGUCAACUUCUUAGAGGGACAACUUGUGAACAACAAGUGGAAGUUUGAGGCAAUAACAGGUCUGUGAUGCCCUUAGAUGUUCUGGGCCGCACGCGCGCUACACUGAAGCAUUCAACGAGUCCACCUCGACCGACAGGUCUGGGAAACCUUUUGAAAUUGCUUCGUGAUGGGGAUAGAUUAUUGCA
rnacentral:rRNA from 1 species